rnacentral:rRNA from 1 species
GUCUACCACCAUACCACUCUGAACGUGCCCGAUCUCAUCUGAUCUCGUGAAGCUAAGCAGGGUCAGGUCUGGUUAAUACUUGGAUGGGAGACCCACUGGCAGUACCAGGUUCCAUAGGCU